rnacentral:rRNA from 1 species
CCUACGGGCGGCAGCAGUGAGGAAUAUUGGUCAAUGGGCGCGAGCCUGAACCAGCCAAGUCGCGUGAGGGAAGACGGUCCUAUGGAUUGUAAACCUCUUUUGUCGGGGAGCAAAAGACGCCACGCGUGGCGUUCCGAGAGUACCCGAAGAAAAAGCAUCGGCUAACUCCGUGCCAGCAGCCGCGGUAAUACGGAGGAUGCGAGCGUUAUACGGAUUUAUUGGGUUUAAAGGGUGCGCAGGCGGAAGAUCAAGUCAGCGGUAAAAUUGAGAGGCUCAACCUCUUAGAGCCGUUGAAACUGGUUUUCUUGAGUGAGUGAGAAGUAUGCGGAAUGCGUGGUGUAGCGGUGAAAUGCAUAGAUAUCACGCAGAACUCCGAUUGCGAAGGCAGCAUACCGGCGCUCAACUGACGCUCAUGCACGAAAGUGUGGGUAGCGAACAGGAGUAGAUACCCGGGUAGUC